UACAGUGUGGAAACACCAUCACUGAUAAUGUCAGACUCGGAGCUGGAGGAUAAAGAGAACAUCUCACAGGUUUUUGCACCUCAUAACUUGUCAGUUCCUGAACAGCAGCAGGAGACGCUUCUGCUUUGACUCGCCUAGGCCCUUGGCGCCACCUGCUGGUCUCAUCGCGCCAAUGCAGCUCUGAUCCGUGGAGAAUCCAUGCCUACCUUCUGAGCCAAACCUGAGAAAAUCGGGAAUUUCCUACCACCUGGAAGACUAGAUCCAAAUCCUCAGGGACAGCUCUGUCUUCAGUGCCUAGAUGGAGGAUCUGAGAGCAGUUAACGCUCGGGAAGCGGAGUACAUGAAGCACAGAGAUACAGCACAGUGGCACGGAGAAGAGGAGGAAAGGUACGGAAGCUCUGAGAAGAGCAAGAUCAGCUGCCAGGCCUCACCUGCACCCCCUUUUUUUCAGCAUUGGCCCAUCCAGGCCCCUGGACAGAGCUCAGCCUGUCCA
rnacentral:lncRNA from 1 species